CACAUUGACAUUUUUUGUUCAACAGGAAUACAUGAUGUCGACCAACAGUACAGCUAGAUGAAGAUAUAAAUUUAUUCAAAGAAAUAAUGGGACAAUGAAUGUUAAAAUUACCAAGAAGAAUACUGCCAAUUUACACAUCAUUUUAUAUAGUUACAGUAUGAUAUGGUGAACAAAAAGCCCUCAAUGCAG
rnacentral:lncRNA from 1 species